UCAAUUCUGUGUCUUCUGUUGGCUUACUCCUACCUCACACACAGGAGCCUAGAAUGAAGCAUACUGAAGCUGCCUAGAACUCGCCAGACCUCUGGAGCACGGACUGGGGUUUACCCGAAACUCCUACCUAGCCACAGCUGUCCUGCCUGUCCACCUUCCGUGUUCAUGUCUUCUGCAGAGUGAGGACUGGAAGCUGGUAACACCUACUGAUAACAAGAAGUUUGGAAACACAACUACAAAUCUCUAGCACACAGUAUUUCCUUCCAGUAAAAGUCCAGAAGCCAAACCUUUUGAGUUGUUAGAAAACAAAGGCAUUUCUCAAGAAUGCCUCAGAAGCCCUUCACUGAUCACAUGGCCUCUGGAGAGAGGAGUGAAAGCCUGGAGCAAGACCCUCCUGGGCAAGCCACACCUUACCAUCCUAGAGAAGAAUGCUACUGUUGCUCCCAGGUGUUUACACAUGUCUGGUGACAUCCCCAAAGUUGCCUGAGGCCUAGCAAGUGCUUCCCCUCUGGCUUCAGAUUCUUUUUGUAUGUGGAGUUGUGUUGUUUCUGUUUUCUGAAAUCAGGUUUUACUGGAAGCCCAGGCUCGUUUUGAACUUGCAAUCCUCCUGCUGGGAUUACGCACAUCCAACUCUGUUUUGUAACUGCUAUUAACACGUAUUCCUAAUGAGUGGUUCUGUUUGUAUUCACCAGUUGGCACCAUUUCACAUAAGAACUUGAGUGUUAAUAAUAAUAAAAGAACUAUGUAUCUACAUUGCUACCUUCAAAGAUACUAACUUGUGACAAAAAAUAUUUGUGCAAUAUUAACCCAACAAAUAUAUUGGAAUAAAAACAAAAAAGUGUCAAAGGCAAAUAAUUUGCCCAAGAUCACAAAGCUACUUUGUAUCUAAGAUCUAAGAGAAUGAUUUGGGGUGUGUGUGGGGGGGGGAUCCUCCAUGCGUGUCUAUUAAGGUUUGGUUAGGCCAUGUCAAGUUGCCUGAUGAAGCUUGCACUCUCUCAGCUCAACUUCAAUGGUCUAAAUCAGGCAAAAUGGAAAGAAAUGUAAGAAUAUAAAUUCAUCUAAAAAGAAGCAAUUAGAUGCAGUUUCUUAGCUUUCCAAGCAGUGCCAGUGCCUUGGCAGCCAAAGCACGAGGAUCCCUGCAACAGCAAGGGAAGGCCUAUGGGCUCCUGUGAGCACUCUUGUUUGAGCAGGACACACAAUAGUUUGCUUUUUGCAUACACAUCUCAAACAUUUGAGAUAUUCCUCUUAGUGUUAAUUACUGAAUUGUGUUACUGAGUUUCAUCAGCUAAACCCCUAAAAGGAGUUUUCCACAUUAUUGAACCCUAGCUGUGGCAAGGUAAGGACAAGGAAAGGUUAAACGGUGGGGACUUGUGCAAAACUCAAUCCUUUCUGCAUUUGUUUGCUGUUAUGUUGCUGAGUGAUGCUUGAAUAAGGAAAUAUGCAAUAAAAUUCACCCAUUUGACAAAC
rnacentral:lncRNA from 1 species